GGGCGAGUGGUGGAAUGGUUUACACAAAGGACUUAAAAUCCUUCCCGCUAAAACGGUUGUGGGUUCGAGUCCCACCUCGCCCACCA
rnacentral:tRNA from 1 species